UGAGGAAUAUUGGGCAAUGGGCGCAAGCCUGACCCAGCCAUGCCGCGUGAAGGAUGAAUGCCCUAUGGGUUGUAAACUUCUUUUUUACGGGAAGAAACUCCUGAACGUGUUCGGGAUUGACGGUACCGUAUGAAUAAGCAUCGGCUAACUCCGUGCCAGCAGCCGCGGUAAUACGGAGGAUGCAAGCGUUAUCCGGAUUUAUUGGGUUUAAAGGGUGCGUAGGCGGGAUAAUAAGUCAGUGGUGAAAGCCUGUAGCUUAACUAUAGAAAUGCCAUUGAUACUGUUGUUCUUGAGUACAGUUGAGGUAGGCGGAAUGUGUAAUGUAGCGGUGAAAUGCUUAGAUAUUACACAGAACACCGAUUGCGAAGGCAGCUUACUAAGCUGGUACUGACGCUGAGGCACGAAAGCGUGGGGAGCAAACAG
rnacentral:rRNA from 1 species